GGGGCCCGGAUUUGGGACCAAUACUGUCUGACCGGACCAGCGGCGAGAGAAGCGGCAAAAGCUCAAAUUUGAAAUCUGGCACCUUCGGUGUCCGAGUUGUAAUUUGAAGAAGGUAACUUUGGAGUUGGCUCUUGUCUAUGUUCCUUGGAACAGGACGUCACAGAGGGUGAGAAUCCCGUGCGAUGAGAUGCCCAAUUCUAUGUAAAGUGCUUUCGAAGAGUCGAGUUGUUUGGGAAUGCAGCUCUAAGUGGGUGGUAAAUUCCAUCUAAAGCUAAAUAUUGGCGAGAGACCGAUAGCGAACAAGUACAGUGAUGGAAAGAUGAAAAGAACUUUGAAAAGAGAGUGAAAAAGUACGUGAAAUUGUUGAAAGGGAAGGGCUUGAGAUCAGACUUGGUAUUUUGCGAUCCUUUCCUUCUUGGUUGGGUUCCUCGCAGCUUACUGGGCCAGCAUCGGUUUGGAUGGUAGGAUAAUGACUAAGGAAUGUGGCUCUACUUCGGUGGAGUGUUAUAGCCUUGGUUGAUACUGCCUGUCUAGACCGAGGACUGCGUCUUUUGACUAGGAUGUUGGCAUAAUGAUCUUAAUCCACCCCUCUUGAAACACGGACCAACAA
rnacentral:rRNA from 1 species